CCUACGGGAGGCAGCAGUGAGGAAUAUUGGUCAAUGGGCGAGAGUCUGAACCAGCCAAGUCGCGUGAAGGAUGAAGGCUCUAUGGUUUGUAAACUUCUUUUAUAUGGGAAUAAAGUGCGGAACGUGUUCCUUUUUGUAUGUACCAUAUGAAUAAGCAUCGGCUAACUCCGUGCCAGCAGCCGCGGUAAUACGGAGGAUGCGAGCGUUAUCCGGAUUUAUUGGGUUUAAAGGGUGCGUAGGUGGUUAAUCAAGUCAGCGGUGAAAGUUUGUGGCUCAACCAUAAAAUUGCCGUUGAAACUGGUGGACUGGAGUAUAUUUGAGGUAGGCGGAAUGCGUGGUGUAGCGGUGAAAUGCAUAGAUAUCACGCAGAACUCCGAUUGCGAAGGCAGCUUACUAGACUAUAACUGACACUGAAGCACGAAAGCGUGGGGAUCAAACAGGAUUAGAUACCCGUGUAGUC
rnacentral:rRNA from 1 species